GUGACCUCGGAUCAGGUAGAUCCCCGGCA
rnacentral:rRNA from 1 species